GUAAUCGUAAACCGUAUCCAAUCGUCGAACGUACUUAAGCGUGCACUCGUAGACACGGACGGAUGAUAACGACUGCAUGCGUCCCCUUAAAAAAACGGAGUAUAAAGAUAAAAGUAAACUAAUUUGGUAGGAAAAGGGUUUCAUUAAUAAGGGCUGAAAACGAAGAAACUGUUUGAAAGGAGAUACGUGUUUUAUCGGUGGAGCAGCUGUACAGUAAGUACCAGUAGGUGUUUAUUUUGAAAUAAAAUUGGCUGGCUUAACCCAUCUCGAAGCACCAUAACUUUCAUCAUUUUCAAUCGAUUGUAGUAUCAACCAUCGCGCAACAAUUACGUGCAAAUAUUAUAAGUAUUUACGUAUUUUUUAUUUAAAAUUAUCAAAGUAAAUGGAUUGAACAUUUUUAAGGAAAGUAAAUGAUAAGAUUCUUCAAGAUCGGCAUUCAGAAUGUCAAUAUUUAACGUCUCUAUUAUUUAGGUUAGGGAUUAAAUCAAUUCAACUUUCUUUUUUAAACACAUAUCUGUACCUAUAUAAUAUUGAGAGAAUGCAAAAAUAUUAGUCCUUCCUUCUUUUCUACCACGUAAUCAAUUUAAUCCUAACAAAUAAUUACUACUUUCAAGCGGCUGACUUAAAUAUUUGCAAGUGCAUUUCAACCCCGGGCUGCAAACUGAAAUCUUCGAAGUUUUCCGCAAACUUUCAAUAAGUUAAUACGUUUUAAAUGUCUCGCUCGUUAUCGUUUGUACAUUGGAAUUACAAUGGACCUCGAUUUCUUGCAACUCCCAGAAAUAUCAGUACUGUCUGUAAUAUUUACCCUGUUUUUCGUAUUCCUUUUAAGGAAGUGGUAUAACGUUUUUAAUAAAGUAAAGGUUGAUUUAAUAAAGUCCACUAUUUAUUACCUUUUUUGUUAAAAUAUUUAGUUUUGAUUUAACGUGUUCUACUGCAAAGCGCCAGUUGGAAGAGUGACGGAUACGAACAGCCAUUGGUUGUCGUUUGACCUAUAGCCCUGGAGCGUACACGAGCCUUGUUGCUUCGACGACGUUAUCGUCUUCCAUCAUAGUAGUGGUGACGUUUAGUGACUCCCUGCGACGUUUUACAUCUGAAUAGGGAUCAAGGUCCUUCUACUAUCUGUACCGCGUCACGACCAUGGCGGUCUACUCAGAGAAUAUAGAUUUGCAAAAACUGUAUUGUAACGAAAACCGCUACAUAACUAUAACAUGAUUCGCUUACAAGUAAAAUCUGAAAACAACCACCGCAUACGUAUUACAUAGUCAAUAUUAAUACAGCGAUUCAGUCUUCUUUCUCAUAAG